GCUGGCUGUACGCUUGCAACAUUAUGAGCUUGUGAUUUCCACUACUCCAGAAAGGACAAGGGAUUGCUGGUACAUGGAAGGUAACAUGGUUUGCAUUGAGAACUAAAAAAUGAAAAGAGGAAGGAGUUUUAAGAAGUUCAUGGAAAAGUAUAAUUAAGAGCGAUUUGUUGCAAACUACAGCAUAAAAUGUCACAUUAUUGAUGUGGCAUUAUCAAGUUUCAUCAUGAUUGACCUGAUGCCACAAUGUUUUGUAACACAACUGGUUGCUGUCAAUCAAAGACACUUACUGAAACUCGUUAUGAACAUAGAGAACAAUUUGUGCCAGCGAAGAACCAUCUGGUACACUCUGCCUUACAGACGAGACUUGUGGUUAUUAAAAAAUCAAUAA